AUUGAACGCUGGCGGCAGGCCUAACACAUGCAAGUCGAACGAGUGGCGGACGGGUGAGUAAUGUCUGGGAAACUGCCUGAUGGAGGGGGAUAACUACUGGAAACGGUAGCUAAUACCGCAUACCAUCGGAUGUGCCCAGAUGGGCUUAGCUAGUAGGUGGGGUAACGGCUCACAUAGGCGACGAUCCCUAGCUGGUCUGAGAGGAUGACAAGCCACACUGGAACUGAGACACGGUCCAGACUCCGACGGUAGGCAGCAUUGGGGAAUAUUGCACAAUGGGCGCAAGCCUGAUGCAGCCAUGCCGCGUGUGUGAAGAAGGCCUUCGGGUGGUAAAGCACUUUCAGCGGGGAGGCGUUACCCGCAGAAGAAGCACCGGCUAACUCCGUGCCAGCAGCCGCGGUAAUAC
rnacentral:rRNA from 1 species